rnacentral:tRNA from 1 species
GUUUUAAUAGUUUAAAAAAAACAAUGAUUUUGUAAAUCAUAAUUAGGAAUUUACCUUUAAAACU